GACGCCGCAAUUGACGACUCCGAUCGCGCCCAACGGAGAGCCGGUCACUUCCGGAGCCCCUUCGAAUCCCGUCCCCGGUAAUGAUGAAAUUCAUUUUGAAGGCGGUAAACUCGCUGGUGUCACUUUCGGAGCGGUUUCGGAAGGAUCUGGAGACUUUGGAGGAACUUUAGGGUCUGGAUUUGCCAGUGGAGAUGCAGAGAGGUCAGGGUCAGGGUUUGAUAAGAUGGAAUUUGAUAAGACUCGAGGUGUAGAUGGUGAAAAUAUUCUAAUCCAGGCUCAUGAUGUGAAUCUAAAUGUGCCAAAUGUUGAAACUUUUUCUGCUAAAAGUAGGGAGUUUAAUUUGACUGCAUUGAAUUUGCAACAUGGACAAAAUGCUGUUAUGGAAGUUCCAAAUAUUGUUCACAAAGGUGACUCUAAACCUCAAAGUAAUAUCUCUGCAAGUAGCAACACAAGUGCAUUUGAAAGACUUAAAGCUUCUGCAGACCACUCCCAAAUUGCAGCCACUGAAGAUGCAACACUAGCUAAGAAUAGACAAGAUAGUACAGCAACCUUUUUAGCCACUGAUAGCCAAGUGAGUCAGGCUUCAGAUAAUCAAAUCGGAAAACAAUUAGUGAGAGAAAAGACUGAUUUAUCGAGCCAAGAAGUCAGUCAAAAUGUUGAAAUAAUUGAUAAAACUCCAAGCGCUAAAGACGGAAGUAUGUUCGAUUUGCAAAGUACAGCUAACACUUUUUCACCGGAGAACAACUUAGCAAAUCACGGCAUUAGCACGUUGGGAAAUUUCGAAACUUCCACUGCAAAUCCCCAAGUCGCCGUCACCGAAGAUGCAACGACGGCUAAGAAUAGAAAAGAUACUGCUGUCCCCGAUCGCCAUGUCAACCGGGCUUCAGCUAACCAGGCUAACGCUAACAUUAAGAGCGGUUUAGUGACGGAAAAGCCUGAUUUAUUUACCCAGGAAACCCAGCCAAAUGUUGAGUUAGCGACUGCAACCACAGGCGCUAAGCAAGCUAGCUCAAUUGAGUCGCAAAGUCCCGCUACUACCACUAUAGCUAACAUUUAUUCACUGGAAAAUACUGUAGCAUUUAGCCACGUUAGCGAUUCAGGAACUGCAGAUUUGCCGACAGCUAGCGAGAAUGUGGGAAGCAAAGAGCUGAUAGUUAACCAGGCUUUAGAUAACAAGAUUAGCGACAAGAUGUUGACAGAAAAGCCAGACUUUCCUAAACUGCUAAAUGAUGUCAAAGGUUUAGCUAUCGAAAAGAAUAGCAUUGUAGAUUUGCUAAACGUGACAAAUUCGACAUCAGCUGAUGAUUAUCGUGCCAAAACACAUGUAGAAAGUGAACAAAAACACGAGUUAGCGAUUGCAACUCCUAGCGCUGAAGAGACUAGCGUUAUAGGUUUGCUAAACCCAACUAAAUCGACAUUAGGUGAUGAUUAUUCACCGGAAAAUACUGUAGCAUUUAGCGGCAUUAGCAGCUCAGAAACUGCAAAUUCGGAAACUGUUAGCGACAAUCUGGACAGCAACACAUUAAGUCGCCAGGAUUUAGAUAACAACACUGGUAAAAAGGUUGCUCAAAAUCGAGAGUUCGCUAUUGAAACUUUUAGCGCUAAAGAAAGUAGCAUUGUAGGUUUGCUAAGCCCAACUAAAUCGACAUUAGCUGACCAUUACUCACCAGAAAACAUGCUAGCAAUGGAAACUACCACUGCGAAUUUGUCAACAGCUGAAGAAACUAGCGUUGUAGGUUCGCUAAAUGCGACAAAUUCGACAACAGCUGAUAAUUAUCGUGCAAAAACUCAUGUAGAAAGUGAACAAAAACAAGAGUUAGGCAUUGCAACUUCUUCGCUAAAGAGACUAGCGUUAUAGGUUUGCUAAGCCCAACUAAAUCGACAUUAGCUGACCAUUACUCACCGGAAAACAUGCUAGCAAUGGAAAGUACCACUUCGUAUUUGUCAACAGCUAAAGAAAGUAGCGUUAUAGGUUUGCUAAGCCCAACUAAAUCGACAUUAGCUGACCAUUACUCACCAGAAAACAUGCUAGCAAUGGAAACUACCACUGCGAAUUUGUCAACAGCUAAAGAAACUAGCAUUAUAGGUUUGCUAAGCCCAACUAAAUCGACAUUAGCUGACCAUUACUCACCAGAAAACAUGCUAGCAAUGGAAACUACCACUUCGUAUUUGUCAACAGCUAAAGAAACUAGCGUUGUAGGUUUGCUAAGCCUAAGUCAAUCUACAUUAGCUGACAAUUACUCACCGGAAAACAUGCUAGCAAUGGAAACUACUACUUCGAAUUCCCAAACUUUGUCGACAGCUAGCAUAUUAGCAUCUACAGAAAACCCAGACAUUAGCGACCAAGAGUUAGCUAACCCACCACAAUGCACUUUAGUGAAUACGAGCCUACCUUUUUGCACGUACAUGCUCGGGAAGAAGGUAGUUUUGCCGAAUUUUCUGAACCAAACGAGCGUGGAC
rnacentral:lncRNA from 1 species